AGUGAACGCUGGCGGUAGGCCUAACACAUGCAGGUCGAACGGCAGCACAGAGGAGCUUGCUCCUUGGGUGGCGAGUGGCGGACGGGUGAGGAAUACAUCGGAAUCUACUUUUUCGUGGGGGAUAACGUAGGGAAACUUACGCUAAUACCGCAUACGACCUACGGGUGAAAGCAGGGGACCUUCGGGCCUUGCGCGAUUGA
rnacentral:rRNA from 1 species